GAGUAAUUUUCACUUUUCACUGAUCCAAAGGAGGUCACGUGGGAUUGCUUGAAAAUGGCGAAACGAAACUUGUGAAUCGUGCAUUUGCUCUUCUUGGUAGCUGCCAGAAAAUCGAAUCAAGCUUAUGGGACACUGGAUUACAGGUUGCUGCCACUACUCCAUGUGCCCGCAAUUGUCUUGCGUGUAUGAUUACACUAACGGCGUCGCCCACCACGGCGGAAGUGUUUUGCGUACACGCGUUUCAGCAUGAAGCCUGCAGGUGGACGUAAAUUGUAGAAGGCAGCUAGUGGGGGAGAAGAUCAUGGUCAUAGGUCAUGUGACUCCUGGAGCUCCCAGUGGGCUCCCUUGUGGAGUACUUUUCAGAACACACACACAUACAGUUUGCUCACAGAACCAACGAGUAGGAUGUUGCUUGAAUACUGAGAGAAAAUGGCGUAACACAUACAAAUAUCGUGUGACACAUAUGACAAUAAAAACAUUUUUCACGAGGGAUGCAUGAAACACUGUCGCAAUAUUGUGUGCAUGAACCAUUGUGUGUGACACAAGCCGUGGGGGCACACCGCCUCGGACACAUUUUGGGAAGCAUAAAACACAGUAUAUACAGAGCUAGUAUGGUGGAUGCUUCUUUUUUCUUUUUGGCCGUUAUGAGACAUCUUCGGCCGUAAUGAGACUACCUUCGGCCGUAUUGAGACUUUGGCCGUAACGAGACACUUGGGGAUUAAAGGAUUUUCGGCCGUAAUGAGACUUUCGGCCGUAAUG